CAGCAGCCGCGGGAAUACGUAGGUGGCAAGCGUUGUCCGGAAUUAUUGGGCGUAAAGGGCUCGCAGGCGGUUUCUUAAGUCUGAUGUGAAAGCCCCCGGCUCAACCGGGGAGGGUCAUUGGAAACUGGGAAACUUGAGUGCGGAAGAGGAGAGUGGAAUUCCACGUGUAGCGGUGAAAUGCGUAGAGAUGUGGAGGAACACCAGUGGCGAAGGCGACUCUCUGGUCUGUGACUGACGCUGAGGAGCGAAAGCGUGGGGAGCGAACAGGAUUAGAUACCCCUGUAGUCCCUGUCUCUUAUAC
rnacentral:rRNA from 1 species